CCCAGCGUGGCUUAGUGGUUUGAGUGUUGGACUACAGUUCUGAAGACCAGGGUUGGAUUCCCAACUUGGCU
rnacentral:tRNA from 1 species